rnacentral:rRNA from 1 species
AAUUUUCCACAAUGGGCGAAAGCCUGAUGGAGCAACGCCGCGUGCAGGAUGAAGGCCUUCGGGUUGUAAACUGCUUUUCUCUGUGACGAUUAUGACGGUAGCAGAGGAAUAAGGGCCUGCUAACUACGUGCCAGCAGCCGCGGUCAUACGUAGGGCCCAAGCGCUAUCCGGAAUUACUGGGCGUAAAGAGUUGCGUAGGUGGUUCGGUAAGUAGAUAGUGAAAGCGUGUGGCUCAACCAUACAUCCAUUAUCUAAACUGCCGAACUAGAGGGCGAGAGAGGUAGAUGGAAUUCCUGAUGUAGGGGUAAUAUCCGUAGAUAUCAGGAGGAACACCGAUGGCGUAGGCAGUCUACUGGCCCGUCCCUGACACUAAGGCACGAGAGCGUGGGGAGCGACCGGG